rnacentral:misc_RNA from 1 species
UCCGGUUUAACACCGGCAGUCUCCAUAGAGUGCCCAACUGAAUGAUGGCAACUAGGGAUAAGGGUUGCGCUCGUUAAGGGACUUAACCCGACAUCUCACGAUACGAGCUGACGACAGCCAUGCAGCACCUGUCUCUCUGCCCAUUGCUGGGAGACCCUAUCUCUAGGGCUGUCAGAGGAUGUCAAGUCCAGGUAAGGUUCUUCGCGUUGCAUCGAAUUAAACCACAUGCUCCACCGCUUGUGCGGGCCCCCGUCAAUUCCUUUGAGUUUUAAUCUUGCGACCGUACUUCCCAGGCGGGGUACUUAAUGCGUUAGCUUCGACACUGGAGGGGUCAAUUCCCCCAACAUCUAGUACCCAUCGUUUACAGCGUGGACUAC